AGCUCACAGAUGUCAGGCAGAGAAUUUAAGGCACAGCGGAAAUUCGCCUUCCAUGUCUUGGGAUCUGGUUUGUCUUUACCCGGACAAUAGCGUCCUGAAGUGAACAAGUGUACAGAUUUUGGGUCAGGGCCCUCAUUAACCAUCCCUGAUGUUUUCUUCUCUCUGUGCUGUUUAUAUAGGUUUCUAUGCAGAUAUACCUGGCCCAGGUGUGCUAUGUGAUCUUGUGAAGAGCUAUCCUGUUGUACUUUGACAGCAAUACGAUCACCGUGCACAUUCACGGCAACUGAACUGGAGCUUUCCCAUGAUGUGAUGCAGUCACAAAGCGUAACUUUCCCAAGGCUGCUGUGUGUGUGUGUGUGUGUGUGUGUGUGUGUGUGUGUGUGUGUGUGUGUGUGUGUGUGUGUGUGUGUGUGUGUGUGUGUGU